GCCAGCAGCUACCACACCCCAGCAGCCAGCAGCGAUCAUCAAAGGAUUCACGCAACGCUCCUGCAGGUGAUGGCCAGCAGCAGUCGCCUGGAGCAGAAGUUGGAGCGCUGCCUUUGGACCCUGAAGGUGGUUAUGGUCCUGGUCCUGCUCAUGGUCUUGACAGCUUUGUGGGGCUUCACACUGUACAUCCACUAUUCAGCUGGCAAUUUGAACCGUUGGACCACGGCUAAAAACUGAGUGUGUGUGUGUGUGUGUGUGUGUGUGUGUGUGUGUGUGUGUGUGUGUGUGGUGUGUGUGUGUGUGUGUGUGUGGGUGUGUGGGUGGGUGGGUGGGUGGGGGUGGCUAGCUAGCUAGCUAUACUCCGGAGGCAUGGAUAAUGCAUUCACUCUGUGGAAACUAAUGUCCCUCCUGGGGACAAUAAAGCCUUUCUCAUCUAUC